UGGGGGAUAUUGCACAAUGGGCGAAAGCCUGAUGCAGCGACGCCGCGUGGGGGAUGAAAGCCUUCGGGUUGUAAACUUCUUUUGCUCUGAACAAGGCGCACCAUGGGGUGUGUUGAGUGUAGGGGUUGAUUAGCGCCGGCUAACUACGUGCCAGCAGCCGCGGUAAUACGUAGGGCGCGAGCGUUGUCCGGAAUUAUUGGGCGUAAAGGGCUUGUAGGUGGCUGGUUGCGUCUGUCGUGAAAGCUCAUGGCUUAACUGUGGGUUUGCGGUGGGUACGGGCUGGCUUGAGUGCAGUAGGGGAGGCUGGAAUUCCUGGUGUAGCGGUGGAAUGCGCAGAUAUCAGGAGGAAUACCGGUGGCGAAGGCGGGUCUCUGGGCUGUUACUGACACUGAGGAGCGAAAGCAUGGGGAGCGAACAGG
rnacentral:rRNA from 1 species